GACAGAGGGUGCAAACGUUUGUUCGGAAUUACUGGGCGUAAAGCGCGUGUAGGCGGCUAAGUAAGUCGGGCGUGAAAUCCCACGGCUCAACCGUGGAAGUGCACUCGAAACUGCAUAGCUAGAGCCCUGGAGAGGAAGGUGGAAUGCUUGGUGUAGCGGUGAAAUGCGCAGAUAUCAGGAGGAACACCGGUGGCGAAGGCGGGUCUCUGGGCCGAUACUGACGCUGGAGGAGCGAAAGCGUGGGGAGCGAACAGG
rnacentral:rRNA from 1 species